UGGUGGAUCGGGUGGUCCACGGCCAGACGUGUGGACCACGUAGGCAUUUUUCAUGCAUUUUGUGCGGUCUACGGCACUAUUUCAUGGACCGACAUGCAAUCGGAGGGCGUGAGUAGUUCUCAAUGUUGAUCCAAUGGCUGAAAAAAUUGAUGGGCCUAAUUAGGACUUCUGAUAAGGUUCUAAUUGGGUUUAAGGCCUUUAAAAGGCCACGGACAGUGAGCAGAUGUGUGGUGGUUUUGGUUUUUCACGGGAGAAGAACUCAGGUGGCCUUGUGUGGUUCGGUUGGUGGUCCUGUGCAGCACGCACGGGCUUCAACAGUGAAGAGCCUGAGCCUGUGAAGAGAGAGAGAGACCGUGAUGCUGUGGAG
rnacentral:lncRNA from 1 species